AGUCGAACGAGGGUCCUUCGGGACUCGAGUGGCGAACGGGUGAGUAACACGUAGGGAACCUGCCCGUGCGACCGGGAGAACUUUCGGAAACGGAAGCUGAUACCGGAUAGGGACAGAGACGGCAUCGACUCUGUGUUAAAGGAGCUGAAAGGCUCCGCGCACGGAUGGACCUGCGGUGCAUUAGCUAGUUGGUGAGGUAACGGCCCACCAAGGCGACGAUGCAUAGCCGGCCUGAGAGGGCGGACGGCCACACUGGGACUGAGACACGGCCCAGACUCCUACGGGAGGCAGCAGUAGGGAAUUUUCGUCAAUGGGCGCAAGCCUGAACGAGCAAUGCCGCGUGAACGAGGAAGGUCUUCGGAUCGUAAAGUUCUGUUGAAGGGGAAAAAGAGCGGAGAGAGGAAAUGGUCUCCGAUUGAUAUUACCCUUCGAGGAAGUCACGGCUAACUACGUGCCAGCAGCCGCGGUAAUACGUAGGUGGCGAGCGUUAUCCGGAAUGAUUGGGCGUAAAGGGUGCGUAGGCGGCCUGCUAAGUCUGGAGUGAAAGGUACCGGCUCAACCGGUACAGGCUCUGGAAACUGGCGGGCUAGAGAGCAGGAGAGGGCGGUGGAACUCCAUGUGUAGCGGUAAAAUGCGUAGAUAUAUGGAAGAACACCAGUGGCGAAGGCGGCCGCCUGGCCUGUUACUGACGCUGAGGCACGGAAGCGUGGGGAGCAAAUAGGAUUAGAUACCCUAGUAGUCCACGCCGUAAACGAUGAGGACCAAGUGUUGGGGAAGACCCAGUGCUGCAGUUAACGCAGUGAGUCCUCCGCCUGGGGAGUAUGCACGCAAGUGUGAAACU
rnacentral:rRNA from 1 species